rnacentral:rRNA from 1 species
GAUGAACGCUGGCGGCGUGCCUAAUACAUGCAAGUCGAGCGAACAGACGAGGAGCUUGCUCCUCUGACGUUAGCGGCGGACGGGUGAGUAACACGUGGAUAACCUACCUAUAAGACUGGGAUAACUUCGGGAAACCGGAGCUAAUACCGGAUAAUAUAUUGAACCGCAUGGUUCAAUAGUGAAAGACGGUUUUGCUGUCACUUAUAGAUGGAUCCGCGCCGCAUUAGCUAGUUGGUAAGGUAACGGCUUACCAAGGCAACGAUGCGUAGCCGACCUGAGAGGGUGAUCGGCCACACUGGAACUGAGACACGGCCCAGACUCCUACGGGAGGCAGCAGUAGGGAAUCUUCCGCAAUGGGCGAAAGCCUGACGGAGCAACGCCGCGUGAGUGAUGAAGGUCUUCGGAUCGUAAAACUCUGUUAUUAGGGAAGAACAAAUGUGUAAGUAACUAUGCACGUCUUGACGGUACCUGAUGAGAAAGCCACGGCUAACUACGUG